AUAAAAAAAGUUUUCCUUCCAAAGAAAUACUGUGACUAUAGAAGUGAUUAGAUAAGAACUGAUAUCCAAAACCUGGACAACUUAAGUUGUUUCAUAAUUGAUUUCUAUAUAUGGGACUUUAUCUUCUGGUGAGGUCUUUACCUUUAAAAGCAGGUUUGUACCUUAUAGAAAGGAUAGAAAAGAGAGGUCAUUUGUUAUCUUAUCUUCUAAUGAGAUCAGCAAAGAAAGACUUUUAAGGCCCUCCACAGCUUAUUCAUGAUCUCAGUGUGGUUCUUCAAUUGCAGAAUCAAUCCAGGUGUAAAUUGGGAUGCUGGGACCUUGUCUCCUCCCUUCUGCCCUCAUCAAGGAGCAUCUGGGACCGUGUCUGUGGGUCCUCAGUUGGACCCAGCUGGAUUUAUCUGUGGUGUGAUCCAAGCCAUUGCUGCUGUCCCCACUGCCUGUCACCUCUGCUGCUGGUACAUUUGAUUAUUCAGAUUAUCAGUGGGUGGGGAGGAAGGAUCAGGAUGUUGCCUAACCCUGCUCCCCACACACACACACACACACACAGACACCUUUGUGCCUCCUGCUCAGGGCAGAGGCCACCACCAGAAAUUGCUUCAGUAGUUUCAAUUCAGUCUGCCAGAGCCCUUUGCUCCUAAUGCCAUUUAAUCCAGUUCCUUCUUAGCCAGAUUUUCACUGAUAUCAGGUUUUGGCCCAAGAACAGUGCAGAUCCUUUUGAGCUGAACAUCUUCAGCACAACACUUACAUUUUGUCAGAAAAAAAGCCUGAACCAGCAGAAUCUCUUUUAAAGCUAAGGCAGUAUCAUUACCAUAGAGGCAAACACUAAUUUAAUGUGGUUCACAGUAACAACACACCAUUUAUUUAAAUACUUCACCAUUUAAUUUAUUCAGCAUUUUAUAUUGAAGAGUAUUUUCAUUAGGAUUCCUCUGCAAAACCGAAGAAGGCAUUAAAUCAUUUAAUAUACUGACAACUCGCUUAAUUUAUUUAAGCACAGGAGUCUAAUUCAAAAAAGCCAGACCUUACAUAGAGCCCUGUCUUUACAGCCCUGGCAUACAAGGGCCUAUUAAUUUCAGGGUAGUGUGUUACAUGGAUUUAUUUUGAGAUCCCAGUACAUGCUCUCCCCUGGUCAGCAGCCUGCUGUGGGGCUGCACCUGCCAGAGCUGCCUUUAGGAAUUCCUCCCAGUGCACACCAGUCCUGCUCCGUGCCUUUUGCCUCUGCAAAUGCCAGUGAGCAUCCAGCCUUUUGCAUUUGUCAGCUGGCUGGGUUUGCUCCUUGAUGUGACACAGAGUGACCAGCGUGACUGGAGCAGCAGAGGUCAGCAGGGAAACAGAGGCAAAUCAGCAAGCACUGGGGUCAUCAGUGAUGUCUUCAGCUGAACUCAUGGCAUUCAGAGCACUUGGUGAAGUCUGGGGGAUGCACUGAGAUGUACCCCUGACUCGACAGACACAGAAUUAACCAGGGGCUCUCAGUUCUGUGGUGAGACCCCUCCAGCCCCACCCUGAAGGUGCUGAGCAGCCUCAGGAGUUGUCACAUCCAUGCUCUCACACCCUGCCUGAAGCAAAUCCUCCACUUGGUAUUCUGGGUGCUCAUCUCCUUGGGCAAUCCAGCCCUUGUGGCUUAUUACUGAUGUCCCCAGAUGUCCCAUAACGAAUGGCAGAGAGGAAAAUUGUCACCUGUGACAAAGCUCUGGAUGAUAUUGGGGUCCCCAGUGGCUCCCGGUUUGGCUGCUUUCCGAGAUUGGUGCUGAAGCAGAACCUGGGAAACAAUAGCACAUUUUCAAUAGGAUGCACAGGGUGACAUUAAUAAACAUUAGGGGGCUUGAUAUGAUCAGGCAAAAGCAGCACAGCGAAAUGAGGUACCAAAAGCAGGCUGGAGAGGAGGGGAAGGCACCUGAACAGGGUGUUUAAUGACUCCCCCGGCUGGGAAAUGCAGCAGAGGGCAAGGCUGGGAGACAAAACCUUUUAAUGAAUUCAACAUGUGUGCACCCUUUGAAGGCCUAGCUCCCCAUUCCCCAGUGGCGUUUGACCCACCUGAAGAUAUGGAUCAUACAGAAAAUAAUAACCAGUAAGUAAUAAUAAUAAUAGUAAUAAUAGGAAGAGCAGGACCUUCAUCUCCAAUUCAUAUUUAUAAUCCAGCAAAUAUCUCACCUAAAGCCACAAGAUUUAUGGGUUUGCAUCUAUAAUUAAUAUCCUUCCUUAAGCAGGAAAGGGUAUGUUUUCCUACAAAUAAAUCUGGUGCUCUAGACCUGGAUUUUGAAGACUAAUAUUUAAAUCCCUAGCAAGACACAGUUAUUGAUUGUAUAGAUGCAUACAACAAAGACACACCACACACAUUUAUAGAGAUAGCAUUGUACAGCUAUUUUAAAAAUAAAUAAAGCUUCUCUUUUAAAUGCAAUAGAUGAGGCUUAAUAAGAAAAAAAAAGGAGGAAGAUGGGGCAGUCGACUCGGUGUCUGCUCCAAACUGUCCCUAUUUCCCAAAGAUUUCAUUUGCAUCAGGCCCCUUGCUAAAAGCAGGGCUCUUCCUGGGCGCCGAGGCACAUAAAGGGCUUUGAGACAAAGGGAAUUGAUUUGGUUUUAGUGUUAUGGGGAAAAUAAACAGUUAGGCUGAUAUAACAGUAAAAGGGUCAAGCAGGGUCAGGGCUAAUGAAGUGACUUAUGGCAGGUUGGAAUUAAAACACCCUUCCUUUUCUCCAUCCUCCCCUCUAGGAGUGAUCCCUGUGAAUGCCCAAAAUCACAUCCCUGUGUGACAGCAAAGCACCAGCCAAGGGUCAUUUGGGGCUGGGCACUGGACUUGCCUUGGCUGAAGGUUUCCAUGCCCAGCAUCACCUGCUGAGCCAUGGAAAACUCCAACCAAAGCAAGUCCUGCCCUUCAGCUCCCCAUCAGGGACCACAGUCACUGCAUAUAGUCAGGGAGGCUCAGUGGUGCUCCAAAUCAUCCCUCCAGAGCUGAACUGGUCACUGGUGGGUGGAGGAUCUCUUUAAGGGUCUGUGUUGUAGGCUUGGAGCUUUGCAGCCUCAGGACUAUGUUGCUGUCACACACUGGGUCAACACCAGCUUGCCCAGCUUCUGCUGUGCUCAGGAGAUCUCCUCACUUUCUGAAUAUUCUCUACAACCAGAUCCUGGUUUCAAAGGAUUUAUCUGUUGUUUUUUGUUGGUUUUGGGAUUUUUUUUCCUCAGGGGUUUCUUUUCACUUUUGUGAGUUGUAAUGAGCAAAGUGGGAAUGUGCUGGGUAAGGAACCAAACAUUUCUGCUGUCCUUUAUCUCAAGAGUAAAGACAUGAACAGAGCCCAGACACUUGUAUUUAUAUUGUCCUAAGGUAUUUAAUUAAUGGAGAUUUUAGUUAGUCAUGAAUAAAUAGCAUUCAUCAAAAAUUAAAAAAAAGUCUUUUUGCACUCAAUCAUUUAAGGAACUCAUCAGUGACUGCAUGUGGGAGCCUCAUUCAAACCUCACAGGGAAAGAGCUUCUUCUCCCCAGAUUAUGUGCUCCCAGAAGGGAGAUUAUACCCAGGGGGAAGGAGAAGGAAAAGGAAGAAAUUGGCAAUAACACUUGUGUGGUGCCACCAAGGGGUGGUGAGCCCCCAGGCAGGCUGGCUGCACCCUGCUUUGGGGACUCAGCUCCACCACCAUGGGUUGGAGAUGGUCCUUCCCCCAAAUGUUACUUUCAAGUGUCACAAAGCUUGUGUGGAAAGAGGGAAAAGAAAAAGCAAAAGAAACCUUCUGGUGAGCACUGUGAUCCUCCAAAACCUAGUGACCAUGGAGAAGCUUUCCCUACAGACAUGCUGUCCAAUGCAUGCCCUCAUGGUUUUUACCUCUGUGAAGAUUGUGGGCUGUGGGUGUCCAGACACUGCUCUGCAGCUCUGGAAGGGACAGGAAUUCAUGGCUGCUGCUCUUCAAGGCACAGGAGCUUGGGAAGCUGCAACCAGUGUGGGGUACUCAGCCAAGACAGAGCUUUGCUGCAACUUGGUUUUCAUGAUUUAGCAUUCCUGCUGUAAAUAAUUGAUACUAAUGUAAGUGAGAUAAGAGACAGACUGUCUGUGGGCUGGGAGGAAGUGGAUCCUGGUGACAUCCACCUGGAAAUGUGCUUGCGGAUUUGUCUGAAAUAAAAACGUUGAGAAGCCAAACACGAUGUCCAAGAGGUGGGGAGGGAGCAGGGAUGGGAAGGGUAAUCAGUGAUCAGCUCCGUGCACUCUCAUCUCCUGAAGAAAAAGCUACCACUAAUAAUUUCCUUAAUAAGAGAAUUCCUGCACUAACUAGCACUUCCUCACUCUCUGAGCAUGGCUCUCACACUAGUCCAUAAGCUGUGUUCCUGCAUUGCCAGAGAGCUGGGUGGGUGUUAGCACAAUUUAAGGAAUUAAAAUGUCAUUAAGGGGGUGCGUGGAGCACACCCUUCCUUGUCGGACACCAUGCCAGCAGGAAAAUGCCAGUGAGCUCAGCAUAUCUGAUGCCUUUGGCUUAGGUUAUCUACAACCAGCUGAGUACCAGGAAGGAGCUCUCCUGAAUCUCAGCUUUUGAAACCGGAGAAGGCAAAAUUAUAUCUCUGGUCCUGUGAGGGCGGCCAUGAGACAGGCGAUGGAGACAAUCCUGCUGGGUGGAGAAGGGGAGAUUUCCCUGCUGGGAACCUUGGAAUCCAGCACAUCCCCAGGACCAUUACACCAUAUCCAUUUCUAAAUCCUGAUUUGGAGGCUGCUAUUGGCAUUUCACAUCCUCUGAGGAGUCUGUGCCCGGCGGCAAACCGACAUUCACUUCCCCCCGCAUGACAUAAUGCCUGUUUUCAUCCUGUCUAGGGGAUAUAAAAAAAAGAUAAUGUCAGCUUAAAAAAAAAUGACAUCACUAUUGAACCACUUUACAGCUCUCUGCUUCUCUCUCUCUCCUGUGUCUCCAUCUUCACAUCCCACCUGUGUUACCUGUUGCUCAUCAGCCCGAGGACCUUCCUGCAGCCACUGCACAAGCAGUCAGAUCGUACUCCUCUCCUGAAGGCCAUGUCUUUGCACAUCACUCUGGCUGUGACACCAAGCUGGCAGCAAGCUGCAAAGAAGAAACAAUGUGAUGCCAUUUAGAGAAGGAAGAAAUCAUUUUCCCCAGUGACAUCUCUGCUUUUUACAUCCAGUGAACUGAACAGAGGAAAAGCAGGACUGGGGCACAUCUCUGCCCUCACUGCAGGCCCAAGCUGGGGGAUUCCCACAGCUCCCCAAGAGAUGAUCCUCAUCCUGGAUUCCCCCAGCUCCCCAAGGGAUGAUCCUCAUCCUGGAUUCCCCCAGCUCCCCAAGGGGUGAUCCUCAUCCUGCAGUGGAGCUUUGGGUCUAGCAGCCCAUGGAGGAAAGGAAGGCUGCGGUGUCUGCACAUCACCUAAGGGGAAUGACCUGAGGAAGAAGAGCUCAGACCCUUCAGAAAUCUUUCAAAGAGAAGCUUCAGCACUCCCUUAUCUCUUUUAAAAUGAACACAUCAUACUUUGCACAUGUUGAGCAACAAAUUUCCUAACCCAGCUUGCCAAUAGCCCACACGGCCAGUGGGGCAGUGCCAUUGUUUUAGAAAGAGGGUGAGAACAGCACACUCACUCCCCUGGCCAGUGACAACCAGCACCUCAGGGACACCCUGGACUAGAGGUUUGCACAGAGAAUAUGGGGUUUAACAGCCACCAGAGCCUGUGUCACCCAUGAAUUUGUAUAAUUCUUCCUUAAACACAGUUACACUUUCGGCUCUGUGAUGCCCCUGACACCAGUUGCUGUUGUUUAGUCAGCAGCUACUUUACACCUCCUUCCUCACCCUUUUCAUUUACAGGAACCUUUGCUUUUGUAAUAAUGCAGGCAGCUCACAGAGCUGAGCAGAACAGAUUCUGAUGGUCCAGUUUGCAAAGACAACAGAGUCCCACAACAGGAUAACACAAAGUCUGUUAAAAAUCCUAGGGGGAGAAUUUUCAGAAGUGCUUUUCUCACUGCAAGCCAGCACCAGCAGUCUUGAAAAAUUCCAUUUUUAUUUGCUAUUUAUUAUAUGUUUCCUGUGAAUAAAUUUCUGGCUCAAAUUAGACUUAUAAUAAAACUCUAAAAAAAUCUGCUUUUGGGAAAAAAAAAACCCACCACAGAUCUAUUCUUCCUUCCUGGAGAUUUGCUGCCUGUUCUGCAACAGGAGAUGUGUACCAUGGAAGUAUUUAUAACAGCAGUAUUAGGAAAUGAUCAUUUGGGCACCAGAAAUCCAUAUGAGAUAUUAUGGCUUUAAAUAAAUUGUUUAUUGCUAUGUUAAUCUAAUCUUGUAAAUACAUGCACACUUAACUAUAUUAAA